CUCGUGUGAGUGAUCUGCUGCCGGCCGGAGCACCACCCACACUAGAGGUUGAACUUGAAGGCGAUCUGUAAACCGACCUACCGGAUCCAACAAGAAUUACACUCCACGGACAGACAAACUACCUGUCAAAUAAGCUGUGAAGGAUCUUCAUCUUUUUGGACAAUCCUUGAUUUUUAAGAAAUGGUUUUAUAAACCUGAUGGGGACAACACUUUAAAUACACCAGUAGAAAGGGAAGCACUUGAUGUUUUGGAGAGUUUGUUACAAGAACAGUGUGAGGAUGAUACAGCUCACUAUCUCUAUUUAUGCAUGCUGUGGUUCCCCAUUUACAGCAUCGAGAUUGAGGUUAUGGAUGGAUCUCCAGGAGACGAUAUAUGAAAUGGACUACUUUGACAGAUAGAAAGAUCUUUUUAAAAAAAAUAAAUUAUGUACACUCUUUUUUAUAUGUUUUUGUUCACAUUAUGAAUUGUGGUUUUAUUCACCUUUUCACUAAUUAUUUAAUUCAUUUUUCUUUUUUCACGUAAUCAUGUAAUGAUGA